GGCCGGAUGGCGAAAUGGUAUCGCGUCAGAUUUCGGCGAGCUUCUGCUCACAAAACCGUAAUCAUAUCUCUGAAGAUUGUGGGUUCGAAUCCCAUUUCGGUCG